AUUGAACGCUGGCGGAAUGCUUUACACAUGCAAGUCGAGCGGCAGCACGGGGGCAACACUGGUGGCGAGCGGCUAACGGGUGAGUAAUACAUCGGAACAGGCCCAGUCGUGGGGGAUACCACUUCGAAAGAAGUGCUAAUACCGCAUACGUCCUGAGGGAGAAAGCGGGGGAUCGCAAGACCUCGCGCGAUUGGAGUGGCCGAUGUCAGAUUAGCUAGUUGGUGGGGUAAAGGCCUACCAAGGCAACGAUCUGUAGCUGGUCUGAGAGGAUGAUCAGCCACACUGGGAGUGAGACACGGCCCAGACUCCUAAGGGAGGCAGCAGUGGGGAAUUUUGGAGGAUGGGGGCAAGCCUGAUCCAGCCAUACCGCGUGAGUGAAGAAGGCCUGCGGGUUGUAAAGCUCUUUCGGCAGGAACGAAACGGAGAGCUCUAACAUAGCUUGCUAAUGACGGUACCUGAAGAAGAAGCACCGGCUAACUACGUG
rnacentral:rRNA from 1 species